rnacentral:ncRNA from 1 species
AUAUAUAUAAAUUUGAUUUUGGUUUGGUUUUUAGUUUUUAUGAUUUUAUACAUGUUAGGUUUUUUGGUAAUUUUAUAGGUUCGUGAAAUUUUUAUUGUUAUUAUGCUUUUAUAAUUGGUUUAAUAUUUUAUUAUAUUGGUGUAAUAAUUAUUUAUUAAAUGUUAUUUAAUAUAAAUUAUAAGGUUUUUCAGUAUAUAUAUUUAUACAAUGAAUGUAAGUUUUAUAUAGAGAUUGUAAAUAAUAAUUGGAUAAAUUUGUGCCAGCAUCUGCGGUUAUACAUAUAAUUAAAGUUAAAAAUGUUUGGUUUAAAUUAAAGUUAAGUAUUUUGUUUAAUUGAUGGGAUUAAUAUGAUUAAUUUUUUGGUAAAAUUAUAUAAUUAAUUUGUUUACGAUUUUUCUCUUUAUUAUUGAUUCUUUGAAAUUUUGAAAAUAAACUAGGAUUAGAUACCCUAUUAUUUUAUAAUGUAAAAAUUGAUUUUUGUUUACCUAAGUAUUAUGAAAAUAAAUUUUAUUUAUUAUUAAUUUUUAUUUAAAACUUAAAAAGUUUGGCGGUUUUACAUAUCCAGUUAGGGGAGUCUGUUAAUAUAAUUUGAUAAUCCACAUUUUAAACUAAUUUUUUUUUGAUAUUAUAAUUAUUUAUAUAUAAUUAUAACAGUUUAUAUAUUGCUGUCGUCAGUUUAUAUUUUAAGAGUGAAAGAACUAGUAAAUAUUUUAUAUUAUUAUGUCAAGUCAUAAUGUAGCUGAUGAAAAAGGUUUAAUGGACUACUUUAAUUAAUUUUAUUUAUUAAUCCGGAUAAUGAAGAUUAUAUUUUAUUAGUAAGGUGGACUUAAUAGUAAAUUAAUGAUUAGUAUGCAUUGUUGAAUAUUGGUUUUGUAAGAUGUACAUAUCGCCCGUCACUCUUGUUGUUUAAAUAAGAUAAGUCGUAACAUAGUAGAGGUAAUGGAAAUUGUCUCUGGAAUAUUAU